AAGAUAAAGACAUAUUUCAGUCAAGAGUCAAGAGAAAGAUUGUUGAUGAACAGAAAAGAGCAGAUUUGUGUGCAUUUGGGACCACAAACAUCACUAGAGGAGAAGAAAUGAUGUUCGACUGCAGAGAUCCUGACUGCCCAUGGAGACAGGUAGCAGGAUGCUUGGUCCAUUACAUCCUGACGGAUGGACAACACCCUCAUCAGACAACUACACCCUACACCCAGGAUCCACUUGGUCUGUCUCUACAUGUCAGAACGAGUAACUUCAGUCUUCAAUGGGAUGAAAGACAAAAAAUAUCUUAAGCAGAAUGCUGAGCAAAUCAGUGGAAGAGCAUCCUACUAUUGAGGAAAGCCUUCAGGAAGCCAAAACUAUGUGCAAAGCCCUGGUCAGAAACAGAGAGGAAAGUCAUAGAACACUGUUUCAAGAUCUACUUUGAGGAAAUGAAGGCUCCUGAAAAAGUGGACUGUGAAAGAUGCAUAAAUGCAAACAGGAUUCUAAAGGAUAAUGGAAGAGACCAGAAAACAGUUAAAUACUUUGUUCUCAACAGAAUAAUUUCAGUUAAGAGAAGUUUGGGUCAACAGUACUGAGCCCAUAAACCCUGAGAGCUAUUUUUAGAGAGAUUAUGAGAAUAAAGUUUGACUUGAUUUCAUUCAAAA